rnacentral:tRNA from 1 species
CGACCACGAUGGGACUCGAACCCACAACCCCAGGCUUAGAAGGCCUGUGCACUACCAAUUAUGCUACGUGACC